rnacentral:lncRNA from 1 species
GCAGGUGUUGCUGCUCUUCCCAGGACUGGUUUGGUCUCAGCAGUGGGUACAGUCCUUGGCUGCUGUCUGUCUGCCCCUAGCUAUGGCUGCAGUGACCCAUCAGUACGAGUGUUUCUCUGCUGGAAGCCAUUCGUUCUCAGCAAGGAGAUAUGGGGAGCAGUCAGGAAAGCUCAGCAGUGCCAAACGGGAUCUGAGUCCCUGCAAACAGUGACUGGAGGAGUGCAACACCUCCACCAGCCCAAAGCAGAGCCAUGGACACAUUCCUUUUCACAUUGUUGUCUUUACAUGGCUAUGGGUGCUUAAUUGCAUCAUAUUCCAGCACUUGCAAAAUACCAUUUGAACAAAUGUCCUUGUUGUGAUCUGGCAAUUUAAAUUAUCCUGUCUGCAGAAGUUUGGUUCUGGGCGUUUUAGCAUUGAACUCGUGCUGUCUGGAUGAGGUGUGACUGAGGUAGUCCAAGAGCUGAUUAAAGAGUUGUUAGUUGUUCUUUAAAAAAAAAUUCCACCACCAUUAAUGUUGUUGGUGUCUGCAAUAUCAGGAGUGUGCAUCAACAGCAGCUCAUACCUGGGGAGUGCUGCUGCUUUGCAUUCCUGUCUGGCAGAAGACCUCUCCUUUCCCUUUGUGAUGCACAUCUUACUUCUGCGAUGUUUGUUUAACUUCAGCUGUCACUGCUUACAUAAUGCCUCACUCUGCCUGCAGUUUUCAAGGUCAGAUUUGGGUUUUACUUGAACAAACAGCAAGUGCCCGCACAGGGAAUAGAGAGCUGCAGACAGAGUGUGUUCCUGAUGUAAUGCGGAUACCUCCGAAAUCUGACUGCUAAAAGGGGUUAUUGCAGCUGUCUCACAUGCUCUGGGAGGAUUGCUUUAGAGCUGGGCUUUUUGCUCAUGGAAAACAGGUUGAAAUCUGAAUUCCAAGAUGUAUUUUGUUGAGUUUUCUCCUUUGGUCAUUGUUUUACCUGCUCAUUGUCUCUAUGGACAGGGCAAUCUGUUUCCUUUAAAUACAGGGAAUU